UACGUAGGGUGCGAGCGUUGUCCGGAAUUAUUGGGCGUAAAGAGCUCGUAGGCGGUGUGUCGCGUCGGCCGUGAAAACCUGCAGCUUAACUGUGGGCCUGCAGUGGGUACGGGCAGACUAGAGUGCGGUAGGGGAGACUGGAAUUCCUGGUGUAGCGGUGAAAUGCGCAGAUAUCAGGAGGAACACCGGUGGCGAAGGCGGGUCUCUGGGCCGUAACUGACGCUGGAG
rnacentral:rRNA from 1 species